rnacentral:rRNA from 1 species
AGCGAACGCUGGCGGCAGGCUUAACACAUGCAAGUCGAACGGGCAUCUUCGGAUGUCAGUGGCAGACGGGUGAGUAACACGUGGGAACGUACCCUUCGGUUCGGAAUAACUCAGGGAAACUUGAGCUAAUACCGGAUACGCCCUUUUGGGGAAAGGUUUACUGCCGAAGGAUCGGCCCGCGUCUGAUUAGCUUGUUGGUGGGGUAACGGCCUACCAAGGCGACGAUCAGUAGCUGGUCUGAGAGGAUGAUCAGCCGCACUGGGACUGAGACACGGCCCAGACUCCUACGGGAGGCAGCAGUGGGGAAUAUUGGAUAAUGGGCGCAAGCCUGAUCCAGCCAUGCCGCGUGAGUGAUGAAGGCCUUAGGGUUGUAAAGCUCUUUUGUCCGGGACGAUAAUGACGGUACCGGAAGAAUAAGCCCCGGCUAACUUCGUG